rnacentral:rRNA from 1 species
CCUACGGGAGGCAGCAGUGGGGAAUAUUGGGCAAUGGACGCAAGUCUGACCCAGCAACGCCGCGUGAAGGAAGAAGGCUUUCGGGUUGUAAACUUCUUUUAAGGGGGAAGAGCGGAAGACGGUACCCCUUGAAUAAGCCACGGCUAACUACGUGCCAGCAGCCGCGGUAAU